rnacentral:rRNA from 1 species
UACGGAGGGUGCAAGCGUUAAUCGGAAUUACUGGGCGUAAAGCGUGCGUAGGCGGUUCGUUAAGUCUGUUGUGAAAGCCCCGGGCUCAACCUGGGAAUGGCAAUUGGAUACUGGCGAGCUAGAGUGUGUCAGAGGAUGGUGGAAUUCCCGGUGGUAGCGGUGAAAUGCGGUAGAGAUCGGGAGGAACAUCAGUGGCGAAGGCGGCCACUCUGGGGACAACA